UCGAGAAUCAUUCGCAAUGGGCGCAAGCCUGACGAUGCGACGCCGUGUGAGCGAUGAAGGCCUUAGGGUCGUAAAGCUCUUUCGCCUGGGAACAAGAGAAGCCGGCUAAUAUCCGGCCAAUUUGAGCGUACCAGGUAAAGAAGCACCGGCUAACUCCGUGCCAGCAGCUGCGGUAAUACGGAGGGUGCAAGCAUUAAUCGGAUUUAUUGGGCGUAAAGGACGCGUAGGCGGUAAGGUAAGUCGGGUGUGAAAUCCCGGAGCUCAACUCCGGAACAGCACUUGAAACUACUUUUCUAGAGGGUAGGCGGGGAAAACGGAAUUCCACAAGUAGCGGUGAAAUGCGUAGAUAUGUGGAAGAACACCUGUGGCGAAAGCGGUUUUCCAGCUUAUUCCUGACGCUGAGGCGUGAAAGCAAGGGGAGCAAACAGGAUUAGAUACCCCCGUAGUCC
rnacentral:rRNA from 1 species